AGUACGCGGGCACCUUUAAAAUUUAAAAUUGCUGUGCAGUUUUUGCUGAACAAUGUGAUAACUAAUGAUUUUAAUUUUCAUUAUUAAUUAAUAUAAAAAAUAUUUUAGUAACUACUUACUGUUAAAAUAAAAAUUUCAAAACUAACUUUCCGUCUUUUAUAGCCUUAGCUUCCGCGAUAGCCUAAAAGUUGUCACAAUCGUUAUGUAGAUGUACCUAUGUUUUUACAGCGUCAUUAUUUUCAAAGUUCAAGGAUAUAGUAUUAGUAUAUAACGAUUCUAUAACAAAUCAUUCAGUGUAUUCAUACAGAUAAAUCACAUCAACAAUGUUCUACAAAUUGUUCGCUCUUUUUGCCAUGCUGGCGAUGGCAUUCGCAGCGCCGAAUCCCGAACCCAAGCCACAAUACUUGACCUACUCUACAGGUCUUGAUUACUUCUACCCAGGCGCCGCCGGCGUGCCUUCGGUCGUCUCUGCAUACUCCGCCCCUGCACUUACCCCAUACGGAUACUCUGCUUACCCUCAAGCUGUUUUUGUACGCUAAAAUGUAAAAGAUAAUAUGAGAAUGUUUAAAAUUUUUCGACAACUUCUUUCUAUCUAAUAAAUCAUCUUCUUUCAUGCAAAAUUA